AGCCAACCACAUUCUGGGCUGUAUCAAAAGAAGGCUGGUCAGUAGGUUGAGAGAUGUAAUCCUGCUCAUCUACUCUGCUCUGAUGAGACCUCAUUUGGACUACUACAUCCAGAUGUGAAGAGUACAGAAGAGUACAGAAGAAGUAUCGAAGAGAUGUGGACCUGCCACAGAAAUGACCAAAAGGAUGGAACACACUCCUGACAAAGACAGGUUUCAGGGCAAUCUGAGGGUGGCUUUUCAGUGUCUA
rnacentral:lncRNA from 1 species